GCCGAAGUGACGGAAUUGGCAUACGUGACAGCCUUAGAAGCUGUAUUUUGUGGGUUCGAGUCCCACCUUCGGUA
rnacentral:tRNA from 1 species